UACGUAGGGGGCAAGCGUUGUCCGGAUUUAUUGGGCGUAAAGAGCGUGUAGGCGGCCAGGUAGGUCCGUUGUGAAACUAGAGGCUUAACCUCUAGACGUCGAUGGAAACCAUCUGGCUAGAGUCCGGAAGAGGAGAGUGGAAUUCCUGGUGUAGCGGUGAAAUGCGCAGAUAUCAGGAAGAACACCCGUGGCGAAGGCGGCUCUCUGGGACGGUACUGACGCUGAGACGCGGAAAGCGUGGGGAGCGAACAGG
rnacentral:rRNA from 1 species